rnacentral:pre_miRNA from 1 species
AUGGACAAUUUUGGUUUUGAUGUUUAAUGAGUAUCAAAACUAGGAUUGUCUAUGC